rnacentral:rRNA from 1 species
UACAGAGGUCCCGAGCGUUGUUCGGAAUUACUGGGCGUAAAGGGCUCGUAGGUGGCCAACUAAGUCAGACGUGAAAUCCCUCGGCUUAACCGGGGAACUGCGUCUGAUACUGGAUGGCUUGAGUUCGGGAGAGGGAUGCGGAAUUCCAGGUGUAGCGGUGAAAUGCGUAGAUAUCUGGAGGAACACCGGUGGCGAAGGCGGCAUCCUGGACCAACACUGACGCUGAGGAGCGAAAGCCGGGGGAGCAAACGGG